UACAUACUCCCUCCGUCCGGAAAUACUUGUCAUCAAAAUGAAUAAAAGGACCUUUUAUUCAUUUUGAUGACAAGUAUUUCCGGACGGAGGUACUAUAUG
rfam:Triticum aestivum genome assembly, contig: Triticum_aestivum_CS42_TGACv1_scaffold_407549_5BL